rnacentral:lncRNA from 1 species
AUAUGUUCAGACUUUCGAAUCGACGAUCGGCUCUGUUAUAGUUGAUCUAAAAUAUUUGAAGCAUCUAGAAAAUAAAUUUUACGAUUUUUCGAUAUUAUUUGCCUAGUAAUCGAAGGGCCUCAAAAUCAAUAAUUUUAACGGCCGUGGUGAGCCGGUUGCAAAUUUAACGGUGUAGAAAUAUCCAAAUCACAUGAAAUUUUGAUAGAAAAUUUUUUAUACCAUAUAAAACAAGAUCAAUAACUUUGAUUUAAAAUUUUAAUGUUAUAUCAUCAUAUUUUGUAAGAUUUUUAUUUUCAGCAGUUGAUUUUGAGCCAAUUCGAUCACUAGGCAAAUGAUAUCGAAAAAUCGCAAAAUUUAUUUUCUAGAUACCUCAUAUACUCUAAAUCAAGUCUAACGGAGCCGAUCGUCGAUUCGAAUAGAGUUGAGCUUGAAUACUAUCGGUAGCAAACGGGCUCCGUUCCCACCCAUUUGUUUUUUAUGAUGGAGCCCCCAAAUCGACAAUCGGCACCGUUGAAAAUGAUCUAUACUACUUGAAGUAUCUAGAAAUCAAAUUUCAUACUUUUUCGAUAUUAUUUUCUUGUCCAUCAAGUGGGCGUAAAAAUGAAAGGCUGAAAAUGAAUAUCCUGCAAAACGUGAUGAUAGAAAUUUUGUAAUUAUGAUCAAAAGUAUAGAUCUUGUUCUAAAUAGUUUAAAAAAUUUUCUAACAAAAAUUCAAUUGAUUUAGAUAGCUUUAUACCGUUAAACGAGAAAACCCUUCAUAUCAACCAUUAAAAUUACUAAUUUUGAAACCCUUUGAUCAUUAGGUAAAUGAUGUCGAAAAGAUUUGAAAUUUAAUUUCUAAAUACUUCAAGUGAUAUAGAUCAUGUUCAACGGUGUCGAUCGUCGAUUUGAAAACUCCAUCAUCGAAAAUAAAUGGGUGACAACAGAGUCCGUUUGCUACCGAUAGCAUUCCAGCUCAACUCUCUCUCUCUCUCUCUCUCUAUAUAUAUAUAUAUAUAUA